AUUGAACGCUGGCGGCAUGCUUAAGACAUGCAAGUCGAACGGUAACGAUAUCUAGCUUGCUAGAUAGGCGACGAGUGGCGGACGGGUGAGUACAACUUAGGAAUCUGCCUAGUAGCUGGGGAUAACUCGGAGAAAUCCGAGCUAAUACCGAAUACGCCCUACGGGGGAAAGCGGGGGAUCUUCGGACCUCGCACUAUUAGAUGAGCCUAAGCCGGAUUAGCUUGUUGGUGGGGUAAUGGCCUACCAAGGCAACGAUCCGUAGCUGGUCUGAGAGGACGAUCAGCCACACUGGGACUGAGACACGGCCCAGACUCCUACGGGAGGCAGCAGUCGGGAAUAUUGGACAAUGGGCGAAAGCCUGAUCCAGCAAUGCCGCGUGUGUGAAGAAGGCCUGCGGGUUGUAAAGCACUUUCAAAAGUGAAGAAAAGUUGGUUGUUAAUAGCAGCUAGCCUUGACGUUAACUUUAGAAGAAGCACCGGCUAAUUUAG
rnacentral:rRNA from 1 species